UACGAACGGUCCAAGCGUUAAUCGGAAUCACUGGGCUUAAAGCGUGCGCAGGCGGACCCGUAAGUAUCUUGUGAAAUCCCACCGCUCAACGGUGGAACUGCAGGGUAUACUGCGGGUCUUGAGGUCGGUAGAGGUCGCCGGAACUGUAGGUGUAGCGGUGAAAUGCGUAGAUAUCUACAGGAACACCCAAGGCGAAGGCAGGCGACUGGGCCGAGCCUGACGCUCAGGCACGAAAGCGUGGGGAGCAAACAGG
rnacentral:rRNA from 1 species